rnacentral:lncRNA from 1 species
GUCUUUUUAGGGCCCCACCCACAGCAUAUGGAGGUUCCCAGGCUAGGGUCGAAUCUGGGCUGUAGCUGCCAGCCUACACCACAGCCACAGCAACUCAGGAUCUGAGCUGAGUCUGCAACCUAUACCAUAGCUCAGAGCAACUCCGGAUCCCCAACCCACUGAGCAAGGCCAGGGACAGAACCUACAUCCUCAAGGAUAGUAGUUGGGUUCAUUAACCACGGAGCCGCAAAGGGAACUCCAAUACUGCAUUAUUUUUCAUUUUCAUUUUGAAAUAAUUGCAACUGCAAAAUAUAAGACUUGUCAUACACCUUUUACCUAGAUUUUCCACAGUUCCUGAAUAUUAACAUUUACCUAUAUUUGCUUUAUCAUUCUCUAUCUUUCUCUCCCUCUAUAGAUAGAUGGGUACAUACACACAUACACACAUACAACAAAAUACAUAGAUAAAACAAAGUUGAUAUUCAUCUGUAUUUUCCUUAUUAAAUGUUUUCUUUUUCCUGAAACAUUUGAGAGUGGUUGCAGACCUGAUGUACCCCUUGAUCCCUAAAUAUUUCAGUCUGUUUCCUAAAAGCUGGGAUGGUAUAAGAUUAUAAAAACUCAAGAUGUUAAGAUUGAUUUUAUAUUGUUAUCUAUUAUAGAGAUCUUAUUUAAACUUUGUCAACUGUCUCUCUACUGUCUUUUAUAGUAAAAUAAAUACAUGAAUUUUUCUGGUUCAGAAAAAAAAAGUACCAAGAAACAGGUAAAAUUCAUUUUCGUAGUCCUUUCAUGAACACAGUCUAUCGACGCUUUAAUCACUUUGGCCAGUCCUCAGUAUAAAAUUAUUAGGCAAUUUUGGUCUUUUGUACUAAACCUUUGAAAUUUCUAUAUGUUUUACACUUCCGGCACAUCUCAGUUCAGACCAGCAUGUCAAGUGCCCGAUGGCCACAGGUGCUUAGAGGCUGCCAUACUAUGCAGCCCAGGCAUUGCUUAUUCCAGAUGUUGGGAUAUCAAAAUGGGUGAAGUGUGGCCCUGGCCACUGAGGAGCCAAGGACAGGGACAGAGACAAUUCCAACCAAGCAUAAGAAAAUAAGAAGAGGGAGAAUGAGGUGCCCUUGGGCACAGGUGAGAGGCACGAAUGCAGCCUACCCAGGGGCCUCCGGAAAGAUCCUGGAUCAAGCACAGUCAGAGAUCAGAGAGGCUGGGAAACAAUGGCUGAGGAUAGGCCAGGGCAUGUGGCAGAGAAGAGGUUGGCUCCUGCUUUGGGGGUGGUGGGGAGACUCACACCAGGCAGCAAGGCAUCCAGAAUCCGAGGGGAGAGAGUGGCAGCAGGUGGCUAUGAUAUGGACCACAAAGGGGAACGGUAAGGCCAUAGCUUGAAAGAGCAGCAACAAUAGCCAUAAUUGUGAUCAUUAGGCCAUGCCUAUGGGCCUGGCUGAGAAAAGAUUUUCUGUCUUGAUUGCAGGAGGGGGAAGUGAGCAUGCGCGUUGGAAGGGGAGGAGUCCAGCCUUGCAGGAAAACGUGGGACUGCAGGAGAGAGAGAAGCUGAUGAGGACCUAGGACAGAAGAGUCCAAAGGGAGAAGGUCAAGGGCCCCUUGCGGAAGUGGGUAUCAGGCCCUGAGGCUGGGGAGACACUUGUUCCCUUGAAGCAAGAGGGAAAAGGGAGGGCAGGAAAGGAGAGACCCAAUCAGGUCACUCCCCUGCCCCAGCCUCUCCCACUUCCUCGAUGACAAGGGAAUAAACCCAAACUCCUGAAUAUGGCAGCACAACGGGCCGUGACCUGCCCAUCGCCCAGCCCUCCUUUCCACAUUCCAUCCCUCCAAGCUUCAUUCCACCAGCACAUGAGCCACUUGAGGGCAAGGCCCACCCUUAGCCUUCACCUGUCCCCCUGGAUGUGUCAUAGGGCCUAACACGUGUUGAAGAAAUGUAACCUCCAUGAGGACAGGGAUUCUGUGUUUUUGAUCACCACUGUAAAUCCGUCUUGGGAUUAUAGCCCCAAGGUAGGCACAUGAUGGAGGUUUGAGAAAUAUUUCCUAAAUGAAUGAAUGAAUGGGUGGAUGAGCAUCUGUCUACACAGACAGACCACAUACUUAAAUCCUCAAAAAUAGAGAUCACAUAAUAAGAUUUUUUUUUUUUGGUAUUCUUUCGCACAUGGGACUCCAGCCAUAAGGUGCAUUUACAUAAUGUUAUUAUUGAUGGAUUAAGUGAUUGAAGAGAAUAACUCAGACUCGUAAACUACCUUUCCUCCAAGGAGAAGCUAAGACCCUUUAGCCUAGAGGUUGUAACAUGGUGGCUUAAGACAUUCUUCAUUUAAGAGCCUUUGUGUAGGUCCUGCCAGAGUCCAUUUCUCCUCACUCCCCAUCGGCUUACACCUGGCCCCCUUCUCUCUGUGGCGGUACCCACCUGGUCCCAGAAACUGUAUGCAUCUUUAGAAACCAGUGUCCCCUCUUUCCAGAUGGGAAAAUGCAAGAAUGGAGGGCUUAAGCAGCUUGUUCAAAUACAAUACUCUUCCAAGAACACUACGGGUCCGGCUACAGGCCAACAUCUCCCGGUUCCUAGUCAGAUUUGUUUCUGCUGCACCACAACGGGAACGCCAAACAUCUCCUAAGAUGGUAGUAAACUCGACUUCCACAGACCAGCUUCACCACCCACACCCUAAAAGGCAUGUAGAUUCCUGGGACCUGGUCAACUCCAAGAACCCGGGGACAGCCUUUCCCAAAGGGGAGAGGUCUUUGUAGGACUUACGGCACUGUCCCCAGAUGGGCCCCUACUGUCUGCCUGGGUGUAAUCAUGGAGGAUAUGGGGCUGACUCAACACACCCAUAUAUCAAAGUCAACCGUCUUGUGGGGUCCAGGGAACUUUGUAUCAUUGCCUUCAGGGCAGCCCAAGGCUUUGGGAGUAAACAUCCUGACCCAGCCUGACCAAAUCAUGUACUUCCCCAACCCGAUUCCCAGGUAGCACCUGCCCUGGAGCUCCAAUCCCAGCCAUGUGUUUGACCUGAACAGAGAAAGUCACAUCCCACCUUCUCCCCGGGGCUCUCUCAUUUGUACGGGGCAUCAGUGUUCUUGCCUACAUUGGCCAGCUUUCUGACUGUUUUCUCGAGAAGCACUCAGUACCCACACUGACUGCAUUGGCAAGAUGCACAACCACCACAGCUCGACCAGCACCAACCCUCGGAUGUGUGGCCAGGAAGGUAUCGUGAUACUCUGCUCAGACUUCAAUGUAAUUCUAAGAAGGAGAAACUGCAUUCAACGAAGAGUCGGAGGAACUCAGGAGUGUUCAAGUAAAAGGGGAACAAGAAAGGCAACCACUCAGCAAGAGGGGUCGUGAGCUGCUGAAGGGAAACUCUAGGUCAGGUGGUGGUGGGUGGGCUCAGCCUCCUUAGGGCAGAGUGCCUCACUCACAAUGCCCCCGAGAAGGGAUGUUUUGGAGAGGUGCACUUGGCAAUCUGGGAUCUCAAUGUACAAAUAUGUAUGGAGAGCUUUCAGCCCAUCAUGGAAUGUGCUAGGUCCUGUGGAGGUUUUAGAGAGGAAGGCACUGUGAUUCUCUGGCUCAGAGAGCUUACCAGCUAGUAAAGAACACAGGACAGGGUGGCACGUACUUGUAAUCCAUGGCACCGUAUGGGUGUGAUGUGAAAGGUACAGACUAAUUUCAGAAAGGGCACCAAGGAUGCAGGAGCAAGAUUUACUCUAUCAAGUUGAGAUCAUGACCAUUUGGAACUUCAUCAUCUUUUCCAAGAAAACUAGGAAAAAGGAAGUGAGGGACACCCAUGGUGGAGAUGACUCGGUGUAAAAAUGACCUGAUGGGGAUUCGACCCGCAGAGACAUUUAAGAUUUUCUUUUUAGGAACCAAGAGAAAGAAGCGUAGGCAUCCAGGAAGUAAUUAAUAUUGAACCGAGGCAAGGAUUGACCCAGGGCUGGUAACAGGACACCCCCAAAGUGUGCAGAUGAAUAAGUGAGAGGAAAAUAUCAUUAGGGACUAGAGACCUGGCCGGAAGACUCGUGGCUCCCUAAUAUUGUGUAUUUGCAUUAAAAUGUGAGCAGAAAUAACACCAAUUAGAGUUCCAAAGAAUGAGCCAAUAACUGACUUUCUCCCUCUUUCAUUAGCCCUUUAUUCAAGGAGCUCAAAGUAUCUCACAUUUUUAUCUCUGGAUCCCCACAACCCAACUCCAUACUAGGAACAUACUAGGUGUUCAGUUAAGUGUUGAAUUAAGGAAUGGAAGCAUGAACCCCAAGCAAACACAAGAGCAAGAGUAUAAAGGCGGCUCUGGCAGUCGAACUGACAUCCACUCAUAUGCAUUUAACUUUCUGUCAAGAAUAAUGUCUCUGAAUACCAGUUUCCUCAUCAAGACAGAGAUAAUUAUAGAGACCUCCCUGGACUCUGCAAGGAUUAAAUGACCCAGGAAAAUACUUUGUAAGCUUGGAAAGCACCAAAAUAUAUCCCUUUCCAAAUUGAUACUGUGUUUACACAAUGAAGAUGCUUUUUAUUGGGAAACCAGAGAGUCACCUUUAAGCCCUCCUUGUCCUGUUUUGCCCCAUCUGGGAACAGUCCCAUCAAGUCCAUUAUGGGUGGGCAAGCUGCCCUCACCACUAACUCCUAUGCAAGGAAGCAGUCACAAAAAACUUGAUGAGGAGGGUUAACCAGCGAUGUCGGCAGGGCUGUUCUGGGCACACGGAGCCAAGGAGUUUCUUAGUCUGCUACUUGCAAGCAGGAAGUUCCCUUAUCCCCACUCUGGGUUUGCUGAGCCCUAGAAUUAAGGUGUCAGAUGGAGAUGCAGGCUUUGUUCACAUGGAAAAGCUGCUGAUUUAACAACUUUUAUAUCUACGCGCACCCAAGCAUGCACGGCCGACACUUGUCUGCUCUUGACAAGAUAACUGGGCCAUGUGGUGACAAUAUUAAUUAGACAAUUGCUGCUGAAGAAGAAAUUUGCACAGCUCUCCACCUGUUUUCCCUUGAGACUCGGUUCGCCUACAACCAACAGCCAACCGGGUCUGAUGGGUCAAAUGGUACGGUUGUCGUGUUCUCCAGGGUAGCAGUUCCAGAAGAAACACUGGAGCUGCAGAAGACCUGGCAGCCUCCUGGGAUGGAACCCAGCCUCUAGAACCUUCUUCGCAAAGCAUUCACUGUCCAGAAGUUGAACACCAAACCCUAGGCUGGCCACUCGGAAUUCUUCAGCAGUCUUAUUGGGGCAGUAAGUGAGCAACAUGGCAUUAGGCUGGGCAUCCUUGUAGACAUGGGUUCAAACCCAAGGUCUGCCUUGUGCGAGCUGUGUGAUCCUGAACUACAUAAUUUACUCUUCUUUCCAUACCAUGAGAAUAUUAUUUCCUUCCCUAUAGAACUGUGUUGAGAAUUAAAUAAAAUUACGUACGUCUAACUUCUCUCUGCUGGCUAUUUCCCCUUCUCCUUACCCUCCUAAGUGCUAGCUGGGCCAGUCGACGCACUAUCGCUAGAACAGUUACUUUCUCACACACACGCGUGGCUCCACCAUACACCAUCACCUGGACCUGCUCCCCUUUCCCGUCUCCAGAUUAACCUCAUCCCAUAAGCCUCCGCGCAUACCCUCCGUCCUGGCAGCGUCCUCCAGGCUCCCCAGCUGAACAGGACCCCUCCUUUUUCUGAAAUGCCAUGGCCCUAUUACUAGGGAUCUUUCCGAUGCAUGUGACCAAACUCUUGAGGGAGGCAAUUGGUUUGUAUGCCCCUUGGGACUCUGUUUUGGAUGGAGCUGCAGAGCCUAUUACUUCAUGGAACUGAGC